ACCGCAUGGUUCAAAAGUGAAAGACGGUCUUGCUGUCACUUAUAGAUGGAUCCGCGCUGCAUUAGCUAGUUGGUAAGGUAACGGCUUACCAAGGCAACGAUGCAUAGCCGACCUGAGAGGGUGAUCGGCCACACUGGAACUGAGACACGGUCCAGACUCCUACGGGAGGCAGCAGUAGGGAAUCUUCCGCAAUGGGCGAAAGCCUGACGGAGCAACGCCGCGUGAGUGAUGAAGGUCUUCGGAUCGUAAAACUCUGUUAUUAGGGAAGAACAUAUGUGUAAGUAACUGUGCACAUCUUGACGGUACCUAAUCAGAAAGCCACGGCUAACUACGUGCCAGCAGCCGCGGUAAUACGUAGGUGGCAAGCGUUAUCCGGAAUUAUUGGGCGUAAAGCGCGCGUAGGCGGUUUUUUAAGUCUGAUGUGAAAGCCCACGGCUCAACCGUGGAGGGUCAUUGGAAACUGGAAAACUUGAGUGCAGAAGAGGAAAGUGGAAUUCCAUGUGUAGCGGUGAAAUGCGCAGAGAUAUGGAGGAACACCAGUGGCGAAGGCGACUUUCUGGUCUGUAACUGACGCUGAUGUGCGAAAGCGUGGGGAUCAAACAGGAUUAGAUACCCUGGUAGUCCACGCCGUAAACGAUGAGUGCUAAGUGUUAGGGGGUUUCCGCCCCUUAGUGCUGCAGCUAACGCAUUAAGCACUCCGCCUGGGGAGUACGACCGCAAGGUUGAAACUCAAAGGAAUUGACGGGGACCCGCACAAGCGGUGGAGCAUGUGGUUUAAUUCGAAGCAACGCGAAGAACCUUACCAAAUCUUGACAUCCUUUGACAACUCUAGAGAUAGAGCCUUCCCCUUCGGGGGACAAAGUGACAGGUGGUGCAUGGUUGUCGUCAGCUCGUGUCGUGAGAUGUUGGGUUAAGUCCCGCAACGCGCGCAACCCUUAAGCUUAGUUGCCAUCAUUCAGUUGGG
rnacentral:rRNA from 1 species